GAAAUGCGAUAAGUAGUGUGAAUUGCAGAAUUCAGUGAAUCAUCGAAUCUUUGAACGCACAUUCCGCCCUUUGGUAUUCCAAAGGGCAUGCCUGUUCGAGCGUCAUUUGUACCCUCAAGCUUUGCUUGGUGUUGGGCGUCUUGUCUCUAGCUUUGCUGGAGACUCGCCUUAAAGUAAUUGGCAGCCGGCCUACUGGUUUCGGAGCGCAGCACAAGUCGCACUCUCUAUCAGCAAAGGUCUAGCAUCCAUUAAGCCUUUUUUCAACUUUUGACCUCGGAUCAGGUAGGGAUACCCGCUGAACUUAAGC
rnacentral:misc_RNA from 1 species